rnacentral:rRNA from 1 species
GACGAACCGUGCGAACGUUGUUCGGAAUCACUGGGCUUAAAGGGCGCGUAGGCGGGCUGACAAGUCUGGGGUGAAAUGCCGCGGCUCAACCGUGGAACUGCCUUAGAUACUGUCGGCCUCGAGGAAGGUAGGGGCGUGCGGAACUGUGGGUGGAGCGGUGAAAUGCGUUGAUAUCCACAGGAACUCCGGUGGCGAAGGCGGGUCUCUGGGCCC